rnacentral:rRNA from 1 species
GGACAAUGGGGGAAACCCUGAUCCCGCCAUGCCGCGUGUGUGAAGAAGGCCUUCGGGUUGUAAAGCACUUUUAUUCCGGGAGGAAGGCCUCUGGCCUAAUACCUCUGGGGGUUGACGGUACCGACAGAAUAAGCACCGGCUAACUCUGUCCA